rnacentral:rRNA from 1 species
CCAGACUCCUACGGGAGGCAGCAGUGGGGAAUAUUGCACAAUGGGGGAAACCCUGAUGCAGCAACGCCGCGUGAGUGAGGAAGUAUUUCGGUAUGUAAAGCUCUAUCAGCAGGGAAUAGAAAAGAAGGUACCUGAAAAAGAAGCCCCGGCUAACUACGUGCCAGCAGCCGCGGUAAUACGUAGGGGGCAAGCGUUAUCCGGAUUUACUGGGUGUAAAGGGAGCGUAGACGGAAAGGCAAGUCAGAGGUGAAAACCCGGGGCUCAACCCCGGGAGUGCAUUUGAAACUGUCCAGCUGGAGUGCAGGAGAGGUAAGCGGAAUUCCUAGUGUAGCGGUGAAAUGCAUAGAUAUUAGGAGGAACACCAGUGGCGAAGGCGGCUUACUGGACUGUAACUGACACUGAGGCUCGAAAGCGUGGGGAGCAAACAGGAUUAGAUACCCUUGUA